rnacentral:lncRNA from 10 species
UUUCUAUGAUGGUUAAUACUGACUGUCAACUUGAUUGGAUCGAAGGAUGCAAAGUAUUGAUCCUAGAUGUGUCUGUGAGGGUGUUGCCAAAGGAGAUUAACAUUUGGCAACAGUCAGUGGGCUGGGGAAGGCAGACCCACCAUUAAUCUGGUGGGCACAAUCUAAUCAGCUGCCACUGAAUAUAAAGCAGGCAGAAAAACGUGAAAAUGCAAGACUGGCCUAGCCUUCUAGCCUGCAUCUUUCUCCUGUGCUCGAUGUUUCCUGCCCUCAAGCAUGGGACUCCAAGUUCUUCAGUUUUAAGACUCGGACUGGCUCCCCUUGCUCCUCAAGCUUGCAGACAAGCCUAUUGUGGGACUUCGUAAUUGUGCUCAGUACCGACACACCUGAGCUAGAUGCUUCCACCAAGGACCGAAGUACCCCUGUUGGCGAUGUCACCCUCCAUCUUAUACUUGGUCACGACCAGGUCCUCAGCGAUAGUUUGCUCCUGCUGCUCAUCCUUGCCCGACAUCUUCCUACU